rnacentral:rRNA from 1 species
UGAUCAGCCACAUCGGGACUGAGACACGGCCCGAACUCCUACGGGAGGCAGCAGUGGGGAAUAUUGGACAAUGGGCGCAAGCCUGAUCAGCCAUGCCGCGUGUGUGAAGAAGGCCCUCGGGUUGUAAAGCACUUUCAGCGAGGAAGAACGCCUAGCGGUUAAUACCCGCUAGGAAAGACAUCACUCGCAGAAGAAGCACCGGCUAACUCCGUGCCAGCAGCCGCGGUAAUACGGAGGGUGCAAGCGUUAAUCGGAAUUAUUGGGCGUAAAGCGCGCGUAGGUGGCUUGAUAAGCCGGUUGUGAAAGCCCCGGGCUCAACCUGGGAACGGCAUCCGGAACUGUCAAGCUAGAGUGCAGGAGAGGAAGGUAGAAUUCCCGGUGUAGCGGUGAAAUGCGUAGAGAUCGGGAGGAAUACCAGUGGCGAAGGCGGCCUUCUGGACUGACACUGACACUGAGGUGCGAAAGCGUGGGUAGCAAACAGGAUUAGAUACCCUGGUAGUCCACGCCGUAAACGAUGUCGACCAGCCGUUGGGUGCCUACGCACUUUGUCGAAGUUAACGCAUAAUCGACCGCCUGGGAGUACGCCGCAAGGUUAAACUCAAUGAAUUGACGGGGCCCGCACAAGCGGUGAGCAUGUGGUUAAUUCGAUGCAACGCGAAGAACCUUACCUACUCUUGACAUCCUGCGAACUUGUGAGAGAUCACUUGGUGCCUUCGGGAACGCAGAGACAGGUGCUGCAUGGCUGUCGUCAGCUCGUGUUGUGAAAUGUUGGGUUAAGUCCCGUAACGAGCGCAACCCUUGUCCUUAUUUGCCAGCGUAAGGUGGGAACUCUAAGGAGACUGCCGGUGACAAACCGGAGGAAGGUGGGGACGACGUCAAGUCAUCAUGGCCCUUACGAGUAGGGCUACACACGUGCUACAAUGGCCGGUACAAAGGGUUGCCAACUCGCGAGAGUGAGCUAAUCCCGAAAAGCCGGUCUCAGUCCGGAUCGGAGUCUGCAACUCGACUCCGUGAAGUCGGAAUCGCUAGUAAUCGUGAAUCAGAAUGUCACGGUGAAUACGUUCCCGGGCCUUGUACACACCGCCCGUCACACCAUGGGAGUGGACUGCACCAGAAGUGGUUAGCCUAACAAGAGGGCGAUCACCACGGUGUGGUUCAU